UAUGGGUAGCAAACAGGAUUAGGUACCCUGGUAGUCCAUACUAUAAACAAUGAAUAUUAAAUAUUAAUAAAUAUUUUCAUUUAAUAUAAAAAGUUAACACGUUAAAUAUUUCGCCUGGGGAGUAAAACCGCAAGGUUGAAACUCAAAGGAAUUGACGGGAGCUUAUACGUACGGUGGAGCAUGUGGUUUAAUCCGAUAGUCCGCGUGGAAUCUUACCAAUUUUUGACAGUUUAUAAUUUUUUUUAUUAUAAAACAGGUGUUGCAUGGUCGUCGUCAGCUUUUAUUUUGAAGUUAAGAUAUAAGUUUAACCCUUGCUUUAAGUUGCUAUUAUUUAAAAGUAUUAAAGGAUUUUUAAUCAUUAAAUAAGUACUCUUAAAUUUGAAUAUAAUUUAUAAAAAAUAUGCAAAGGAUGAAGAUAGAUCGUUAUGACCCUUAUAAAUU
rnacentral:rRNA from 1 species